AGAGUUUGAUCCUGGCUCAGAUUGAACGCUGGCGGCAUGCCUUACACAUGCAAGUCGAACGGUAACGCGGGGGCAACCCUGGCGACGAGUGGCGAACGGGUGAGUAAUACAUCGGAACAUAUCCAGUAGCGGGGGAUAACCUAUCGAAAGAUGGACUAAUACCGCAUACGAUCUACAGAUGAAAGCAGGGGACCGCAAGGCCUUGCACUAUUGGAGUGGCCGAUGUCGGAUUAGCUAGUUGGUGAGGUAAAGGCUUACCAAGGCGACGAUCCGUAGCUGGUCUGAGAGGACGAUCAGCCACACUGGGACUGAGACACGGUCCAGACUCCUACGGGGGGCAGCAGUGGGGAAUUUUGGACAAUGGGCGCAAGCCUGAUCCAGCCAUGCCGCGUGAGUGAAGAAGGCCUUCGGGUUGUAAAGCUCUUUCGGUGAAGACGAAACGGUUAGCGCUAAUAACGCUGACUAUGACGGUACUCACAGAAGAAGCACCGGCUAACUACGUGCCAGCAGCCGCGGUAAUACGUAGGGUGCAGGCGUUAAUCGGAAUUACUGGGCGUAAAGCGUGCGCAGGCGGUUUGCUAAGACAGGUGUGAAAUCCCCGAGCUUAACUUGGGAAUUGCGCUUGUAACUGGCAAGCUAGAGUGUGGCAGAGGGGGGUGGAAUUCCACGUGUAGCAGUGAAAUGCGUAGAUAUGUGGAGGAACACCGAUGGCGAAGGCAGCCCCCUGGGUUAACACUGACGCUCAUGCACGAAAGCGUGGGGAGCAAACAGGAUUAGAUACCCUGGUAGUCCACGCCCUAAACUAUGUCAACUAGUUGUCGGGGAAGAAAUUCCUUGGUAACGAAGCUAACGCGUGAAGUUGACCGCCUGGGGAGUACGGCCGCAAGGUUAAAACUCAAAGGAAUUGACGGGGACCCGCACAAGCGGUGGAUUAUGUGGAUUAAUUCGAUGCAACGCGAAAAACCUUACCUACCCUUGACAUGCUAGGAAGCCCGCAGAGAUGUGGGUGUGCCCGAAAGGGAACCUAGACACAGGUGCUGCAUGGCUGUCGUCAGUUCGUGUCGUGAGAUGUUGGGUUAAGUCCCGCAACGAGCGCAACCCUUGCCAUUAGUUGCUACAUUCAGUUGGGCACUCUAAUGGGACCGCCGGUGACAAACCGGAGGAAGGUGGGGAUGACGUCAAGUCCUCAUGGCCCUUAUGGGUAGGGCUUCACACGUAAUACAAUGGUCGGUACAGAGGGCUGCCAACCCGCAAGGGGGAGCUAAUCCCAGAAAGCCGAUCGUAGUCCGGAUUGUAGUCUGCAACUCGACUGCAUGAAGCCGGAAUCGCUAGUAAUCGCGGAUCAGCAUGUCGCGGCGAGUACGUUCCCGGGUCUUGUACACACCGCC
rnacentral:rRNA from 1 species